rnacentral:tRNA from 1 species
AGCUAAGUAAGCUAAAUAAAGCUUUUGGGCCCAUACCCCAAGUAUGUUGGUUAAAUCCCCUCCUUACCUA